rnacentral:rRNA from 1 species
GGGUUGUGAGGUUAAGCGACUAAGCGUACACGGUGGAUGCCCUGGCAGUCAGAGGCGAUGAAGGACGUGCUAAUCUGCGAUAAGCGUCGGUAAGGUGAUAUGAACCGUUAUAACCGGCGAUUUCCGAAUGGGGAAACCCAGUGUGAUUCGUCACACUAUCAUUAACUGAAUCCAUAGGUUAAUGAGGCGAACCGGGGGAACUGAAACAUCUAAGUACCCCGAGGAAAAGAAAUCAACCGAGAUUCCCCCAGUAGCGGCGAGCGAACGGGGAGCAGCCCAGAGCCUGAAUCAGUGUGUGUGUUAGUGGAAGCGUCUGGAAAGGCGCGCGAUACAGGGUGACAGCCCCGUACACAAAAAUGCACAUGCUGUGAGCUCGAUGAGUAGGGCGGGACACGUGGUAUCCUGUCUGAAUAUGGGGGGACCAUCCUCCAAGGCUAAAUACUCCUGACUGACCGAUAGUGAACCAGUACCGUGAGGGAAAGGCGAAAAGAACCCCGGCGAGGGGAGUGAAAAAGAACCUGAAACCGUGUACGUACAAGCAGUGGGAGCACGCUUAGGCGUGUGACUGCGUACCUUUUGUAUAAUGGGUCAGCGACUUAUAUUCUGUAGCAAGGUUAACCGAAUAGGGGAGCCGAAGGGAAACCGAGUCUUAACUGGGCGUUAAGUUGCAGGGUAUAGACCCGAAACCCGGUGAUCUAGCCAUGGGCAGGUUGAAGGUUGGGUAACACUAACUGGAGGACCGAACCGACUAAUGUUGAAAAAUUAGCGGAUGACUUGUGGCUGGGGGUGAAAGGCCAAUCAAACCGGGAGAUAGCUGGUUCUCCCCGAAAGCUAUUUAGGUAGCGCCUCGUGAAUUCAUCUCCGGGGGUAGAGCACUGUUUCGGCAAGGGGGUCAUCCCGACUUACCAACCCGAUGCAAACUGCGAAUACCGGAGAAUGUUAUCACGGGAGACACACGGCGGGUGCUAACGUCCGUCGUGAAGAGGGAAACAACCCAGACCGCCAGCUAAGGUCCCAAAGUCAUGGUUAAGUGGGAAACGAUGUGGGAAGGCCCAGACAGCCAGGAUGUUGGCUUAGAAGCAGCCAUCAUUUAAAGAAAGCGUAAUAGCUCACUGGUCGAGUCGGCCUGCGCGGAAGAUGUAACGGGGCUAAACCAUGCACCGAAGCUGCGGCAGCGACGCUUAUGCGUUGUUGGGUAGGGGAGCGUUCUGUAAGCCUGUGAAGGUGUACUGUGAGGUAUGCUGGAGGUAUCAGAAGUGCGAAUGCUGACAUAAGUAACGAUAAAGCGGGUGAAAAGCCCGCUCGCCGGAAGACCAAGGGUUCCUGUCCAACGUUAAUCGGGGCAGGGUGAGUCGACCCCUAAGGCGAGGCCGAAAGGCGUAGUCGAUGGGAAACAGGUUAAUAUUCCUGUACUUGGUGUUACUGCGAAGGGGGGACGGAGAAGGCUAUGUUGGCCGGGCGACGGUUGUCCCGGUUUAAGCGUGUAGGCUGGUUUUCCAGGCAAAUCCGGAAAAUCAAGGCUGAGGCGUGAUGACGAGGCACUACGGUGCUGAAGCAACAAAUGCCCUGCUUCCAGGAAAAGCCUCUAAGCAUCAGGUAACAUCAAAUCGUACCCCAAACCGACACAGGUGGUCAGGUAGAGAAUACCAAGGCGCUUGAGAGAACUCGGGUGAAGGAACUAGGCAAAAUGGUGCCGUAACUUCGGGAGAAGGCACGCUGAUAUGUAGGUGAAGCGACUUGCUCGUGGAGCUGAAAUCAGUCGAAGAUACCAGCUGGCUGCAACUGUUUAUUAAAAACACAGCACUGUGCAAACACGAAAGUGGACGUAUACGGUGUGACGCCUGCCCGGUGCCGGAAGGUUAAUUGAUGGGGUCAGCGCAAGCGAAGCUCUUGAUCGAAGCCCCGGUAAACGGCGGCCGUAACUAUAACGGUCCUAAGGUAGCGAAAUUCCUUGUCGGGUAAGUUCCGACCUGCACGAAUGGCGUAAUGAUGGCCAGGCUGUCUCCACCCGAGACUCAGUGAAAUUGAACUCGCUGUGAAGAUGCAGUGUACCCGCGGCAAGACGGAAAGACCCCGUGAACCUUUACUAUAGCUUGACACUGAACAUUGAGCCUUGAUGUGUAGGAUAGGUGGGAGGCUUUGAAGUGUGGACGCCAGUCUGCAUGGAGCCGACCUUGAAAUACCACCCUUUAAUGUUUGAUGUUCUAACGUGGACCCGUAAUCCGGGUUGCGGACAGUGUCUGGUGGGUAGUUUGACUGGGGCGGUCUCCUCCUAAAGAGUAACGGAGGAGCACGAAGGUUGGCUAAUCCUGGUCGGACAUCAGGAGGUUAGUGCAAUGGCAUAAGCCAGCUUGACUGCGAGCGUGACGGCGCGAGCAGGUGCGAAAGCAGGUCAUAGUGAUCCGGUGGUUCUGAAUGGAAGGGCCAUCGCUCAACGGAUAAAAGGUACUCCGGGGAUAACAGGCUGAUACCGCCCAAGAGUUCAUAUCGACGGCGGUGUUUGGCACCUCGAUGUCGGCUCAUCACAUCCUGGGGCUGAAGUAGGUCCCAAGGGUAUGGCUGUUCGCCAUUUAAAGUGGUACGCGAGCUGGGUUUAGAACGUCGUGAGACAGUUCGGUCCCUAUCUGCCGUGGGCGCUGGAGAACUGAGGGGGGCUGCUCCUAGUACGAGAGGACCGGAGUGGACGCAUCACUGGUGUUCGGGUUGUCAUGCCAAUGGCACUGCCCGGUAGCUAAAUGCGGAAGAGAUAAGUGCUGAAAGCAUCUAAGCACGAAACUUGCCCCGAGAUGAGUUCUCCCUGACUCCUUGAGAGUCCUGAAGGAACGUUGAAGACGACGACGUUGAUAGGCCGGGUGUGUAAGCGCAGCGAUGCGUUGAGCUAACCGGUACUAAUGAACCGUGAGGCUUAACCUUACAACGCCGAAGGUGUUU